rnacentral:rRNA from 1 species
GGGUGCGAUCAUACCAGCAUUAAUGCACCGGAUCCCAUCAGAAUUUCGCAGUUAAGCGUGCUUGGGCGAGAGUAGUACUAGGAUGGGUGACCUCACAGAAAGUCCUCGUUUUACGCCCU